AUUGAACGCUGACGGCAUGCCUUACACAUGCAAGUCGAACGGCAGCGCGGACUUCGGUCUGGCGGCGAGUGGCGAACGGGUGAGUAAUGUAUCGGAACGUACCAUUGAGUGGGGGAUAACGUAGCGAAAGUUACGCUAAUACCGCAUAUUCUCUCCGGAGGAAAGCAGAGGACCGCAAGGCCUUGCGCUCUUUGAGCGGCCGAUAUCAGAUUAGCUAGUUGGUGGGGUAAAAGCUCACCAAGGCGACGAUCUGUAGCGGGUCUGAGAGGAUGAUCCGCCACACUGGAACUGAGACACGGUCCAGACUCCUACGGGAGGCAGCAGUGGGGAAUUUUGGACAAUGGGGGCAACCCUGAUCCAGCCAUGCCGCGUGAGUGAAGAAGGCCUUCGGGUUGUAAAGCUCUUUCGGCCGGGAAAAAAUCGCAUGGAUUAAUACUCUGUGUGGAUGAUGGUACCGGAAUAAGAAGCACCGGCUAACUACGUGCCAGCAGCCGCCGUAAUAC
rnacentral:rRNA from 1 species